CAAGUCGAACGCGAAAGUGGAGCAAUCCAUGAGUAGAGUGGCAAACGGGUGAGUAACGCGUGGGUGACCUGCCUUCGAGUGGGGGAUAACGUUCCGAAAGGGACGCUAAUACCGCAUGACAUCCUGCCUUUGAAGAGGCGGAGAUCAAAGCCGGGGAUCGCAAGACCUGGCGCUUGAUGAGGGGCCCGCGUCUGAUUAGCUAGUUGGUGGGGUAACGGCUCACCAAGGCAACGAUCAGUAUCCGGCCUGAGAGGGCGGACGGACACACUGGGACUGAGACACGGCCCAGACUCCUACGGGAGGCAGCAGUGGGGAAUUGUUCGCAAUGGGCGCAAGCCUGACGACGCAACGCCGCGUGGAGGAUGAAGACCUUCGGGUCGUAAACUCCUUUCGAUCGAGACGAACGGCUUCCGGGUGAACAAUCCGGGAGAGUGACGGUACCGAGAGAAGAAGCCCCGGCUAACUCCGUGCCAGCAGCCGCGGUAAUACGGGGGGGGCAAGCGUUGUUCGGAAUUACUGGGCGUAAAGGGCUCGUAGGCGGCCAACUAAGUCAAACGUGAAAUCCCUCGGCUUAACCGGGGAACUGCGCUUGAUACUGGAUGGCUUGAGAUUGGGAGAGGGAUGCGGAAUUCCAGGUGUAGCGGUGAAAUGCGUAGAUAUCUGGAGGAACACCGGUGGCGAAGGCGGCAUCCUGGACCAACACUGACGCUGAGUGAGCGAAAGCCAGGGGAGCAAACGGGAUUAGAUACCCCGGUAGUCCUGGCCCUAAACGAUGAAUGCUUGGUGUGGCGGGUAUCGAUCCCUGCCGUGCCGAAGCUAACGCAUUA
rnacentral:rRNA from 1 species